UACGUAGGGGGCAAGCGUUGUCCGGAAUCAUUGGGCGUAAAGCGCGUGUAGGCGGCCCGAUAAGUCCGCUGUGAAAGUCCAGGGCUCAACCCUGGAAAGCCGGUGGAUACUGUCGGGCUAGAGUCCGGAAGAGGCGAGUGGAAUUCCUGGUGUAGCGGUGGAAUGCGCAGAUAUCAGGAGGAACACCAAAGGCGAAGGCAGCUCGCUGGGACGGUACUGACGCUAAGACGCGAAAGCGUGGGGAGCGAACAGG
rnacentral:rRNA from 1 species